rnacentral:rRNA from 1 species
UACGUAGGCAGCGAGCGUUGUUCGGAGUUACUGGGCGUAAAGGGUGCGUAGGCGGUUGUUUAAGUUUGGUGUGAAAUCUCCCGGCUCAACUGGGAGGGUGCGCCGAAUACUGAGAGGCUAGAGUGUGGGAGAGGAAAGUGGAAUUCCUGGUGUAGCGGUGAAAUGCGUAGAUAUCAGGAGGAACACCGGUGGUGUAAACGGCUUUCUGGACCAUAACUGACGCUGAGGCACGAAAGCGUGGGUAGCAAACAGG